GAGCCCGUAGUUUAAAUGGUUAAAAUUCGCCGCUCAUAACGGUUGCGAUGAAGGUUCAAAUCCUUCCGGGCUUA
rnacentral:tRNA from 1 species